rnacentral:rRNA from 1 species
UGCUUACCAUGCAGUCGAGCGGUAAGGCCCUUCGGGGUACACGAGCGGCGAACGGGUGAGUAACACGUGAGCAACCUGCCCCUGACUCUGGGAUAAGCGGUGGAAACGCCGUCUAAUACCGGAUACGACCCGCCACCUCAUGGUGGAGGGUGGAAAGUUUUUCGGUCAGGGAUGGGCUCGCGGCCUAUCAGCUUGUUGGUGGGGUAACGGCCUACCAAGGCGAUUACGGGUAGCCGGCCUGAGAGGGCGACCGGCCACACUGGGACUGAGACACGGCCCAGACUCCUGCGGGAGGCAGCAGUGGGGAAUAUUGCGCAAUGGGCGAAAGCCUGACGCAGCGACGCCGCGUGGGGGAUGACGGCCUUCGGGUUGUAAACCUCUUUUACCACCAACGCAGGCUCGAAGUUUUCUUCGGGUUGACGGUAGGUGGGGAAUAAGGACCGGCUAACUACGUGCCAGCAGCCGCGGUAAUACGUAGGGUCCGAGCGUUGUCCGGAAUUAUUGGGCGUAAAGAGCUCGUAGGCGGCGUGUCGCGUCUGCUGUGAAAGACCGGGGCUUAACUCCGGUUCUGCAGUGGAUACGGGCAUGCUAGAGGUAGGUAGGGGAGACUGGAAUUCCUGGUGUAGCGGUGAAAUGCGCAGAUAUCAGGAGGAACACCGGUGGCGAAGGCGGGUCUCUGGGCCUUACCUGACGCUGAGGAGCGAAAGCAUGGGGAGCGAACAGGAUUAGAUACCCUGGUAGUCCAUGCCGUAAACGUUGGGCGCUAGGUGUGGGGACUUUCCACGGUUUCCGCGCCGUAGCUAACGCAUUAAGCGCCCCGCCUGGGGAGUACGGCCGCAAGGCUAAAACUCAAAGGAAUUGACGGGGGCCCGCACAAGCGGCGGAGCAUGUUGCUUAAUUCGACGCAACGCGAAGAACCUUACCAAGGUUUGACAUCAC